CCUUUUUUUUCCCGCUUUUUUCGGAAUUACUGGGCGUAAAGGGCUCGUAGGUGGCCAACUAAGUCAGACGUGAAAUCCCUCGGCUUAACCGGGGAACUGCGUCUGAUACUGGAUGGCUUGAGUUUGGGAGAGGGACGCGGAAUUCCAGGUGUAGCGGUGAAAUGCGUAGAUAUCUGGAGGAACACCGGUGGCGAAGGCGGCGUCCUGGACCAACACUGACACUGAUGAGCGAAAGCCAGGGGAGCAAACGGGA
rnacentral:rRNA from 1 species